CCCAGUCGCGAGCCUAUUAUAGUUUAAAUUGGUAGCGUGCACUGAAAAGAGUCUUUCAAUGUAAAAUUCAUGUUCUGUCCUUUUUUAGCAAUAUUAAAAGGAGAAGGAUGCAGAUACUCUAAAUUUAGCUUAGCGAAAAACAACAGAAUCGGUGCCAUUGACGCUGAUUCUGUUAAACAAAACUUACUAGAA